UUGGGGCUGGACGGUGACAGGUGUGAGGACAGCGGUGCGCAGAGAGCCAGGGCAGUGAUAAGAUGGCGCAGGCAACGGCUGAGGCACGGGUGCCCACAGGUGCCACCCCCGAGUCCCCGUUGCCUGCCCAGCACCAGACGCACCCGCAAGGCUGCCUGGCGCCCCACCAGCUUUCCACAUCCAAAUGCUGGGGUCACCUUCAGAGCUCCAGCCCCAGAACUGAUCCGGAAGCUUCCAAGGAGCAAACAACACCAGACCUGCCAGGAGCCAGGGGAGCUGAAACCUGCCAGGUAGGACAGGAAGAGAAAGCCUGGCUAAGGCAGGGCGGGUCCCAGACCACUCGGCCCUCGGCACACAGGAGGAAGACCGGCAGCCGAUGUCCUACACCAUUCACCCCGAAAUCCAGCAACUGGGGCCGGCCGAGGGGAGCCACAGCUAUUGUCCCAUGGUGGGGGAGAGUGUCCCCACCCAGGAACCCAGGACCGCCCACCUGCUUCCUGGCCACCCCUCCCCCAUGGGGCUCAGCACCACCCACGUCCUGCGCGGUCCUUGGACUCUUCUGCCCCUGCUCGCUGCUCUGUCCUGGCCACAGGGCCUCUCUGCUGACCCCCAGGAGCGCUGGUCCUGUUCCUGUCUCCUGGCCUUUGCACAAGGUGCUGGCGGUCCCAAACGGAAGCCAGGAGCUCCUUCCGGCUCCCACGUGGCUGGCAGAGACCCAGGCCCCAGAGCUGUCCCUGCUGUCUCCCGGGGUGCGCAGAGCAGGGAGCUGCGGCGGAAGUGGGCCUGGGGAGGGGGGCUUGACCCCAGAACUCUGACUUGGGGUGCGGGCGUCCAGGACAGCAGCUUAGCUGUUGGGCCACACAGGCCCGAGAGGCCCCAGGGGAGUCGGGGGCGUCGAGUGUGCCUCCUGGCAUUGUUGGCGUCUGAAAUUUUCCAUAAGAACUUUGUGCUGGAGACUUCCUGCGUAGUGGCCAAGGAAGUAACCCCAUUCAAAACCCAGCCCAGGGCUGUGGGCUGUGGUCUCCAGGCCCUCGCCACACGCAUACUCCCGCCCACUCGGCCCUGCCUCCAGCCCUCCGUGGCUCUGGCUGCCAACCUCAGCCCUGGGCUGUCCCCGAGGCUCCCCCGAGGCCCCCCGUCUGCCAAGCCUGCAGUG
rnacentral:lncRNA from 1 species